GUGCUGAAGGGAAGAAAGCCCCUGGAGGGGCCUCCCGGGCGGCUGCAGGCAACCCUGCUCUUUUCAUUGGCCCCAUGUGACGCCCACAAGGGAGCAGGCCUCGAAGGCCUUGUAAAUGAGUGUUUGCAGGGCCCCUCCCUGACUACAGCCCAUAUGUCAGGACACACACCUCCGGACUGCUAAAUGGCUGAGAAAAGGACAACCGUUUUCCGUGUUGGUACGACAUGCAGCAUUGGCCAGUCAAGGAUUGAGAUCAGUCAGAGACAUUCUCCCUUCUUCCCCAAACAUGGAGUCCUGUCAGCUGGUCUUGUUGACCACCAUACAGAACAGCCUGUACCUCAUAAGGUAAGAAUGUUCUACAUUAUUGCUACAAGCUGUUAAACUUUAAAGCACAGAAUAGCAUUUAUGUUUCCAGCUUUGGAAAAAGAUAAAGCACUGACUUCAUUGCUGUUUGUUUCAGAAUUUACUCACAUUACAGCUCUGAAAACAUUUCACUGUUUUGGCCCACUUGGCUUCCUUGAGGGAGGAGCGUACACUUUAACAGCAGAACCACUGUGUUAAUUUUCGGGUUAACCAAAGUACACUCUGGCUUUGGCAAAGUUCCCAACAGCUGGUGCUUUGGCCCCCAGAUGAAGGGCCUUCACUGUAUCAGUCUCCUCACCAUCCGUGCAGUAAUGGACCAAUUUGGAAGGAGCCACUGGAGGGCUUUGUACUUAGUUGAUAGUUAAAAGAUUAG
rnacentral:lncRNA from 1 species